rnacentral:rRNA from 1 species
GUGAGGAAUUUUCCGCAAUGGGCGAAAGCCUGACGGAGCAAUGCCGCGUGAAGGAUGAAGGCCUAUGGGUUGUAAACUUCUUUUCUCAGAAAAGAAUUAUGACGGUAUCUGAGGAAUAAGCAUCGGCUAACUCUGUGCCAGCAGCCGCGGUAAGACAGAGGAUGCAAGCGUUAUCCGGAAUGAUUGGGCGUAAAGCGUCUGUAGGUUGUUUAAAAAGUAUUCUGUCAAAGAUUAGGGCUUAACCCUAGAUAGGCAGAAUAAACUUUUAAGCUAGAGUUUGGUAGAGGCAGAGGGAAUGCCCGGUGGAGCGGUGAAAUGCGUAGAUAUCGGGAGGAACACCAAAGGCGAAGGCACUCUGCUGGGCCAAUACUAACACUGAGAGACGAAAGCGAGGGGAGCAAAUGGGAUUAGAAACCCCGGUAGUCC